AAGCGAACGGCUAAAGGCCGGGGGUCCGCGCUUAAGGCCCCCGGCACCACCUCCGGCGGGUGACAGCAGGCUUCCCACGCCGCCCGCGAGGCGGAGGGGCCGCCCGGGCUGGCCGCGGGUUCCUCGGCAGGGUCGCAGAUGUCCUCCAGGGCUCCCGGGCAGGCAGGCUCCCCAUCCGGCGGCUCUCGGUGCUGCGUCUGCCGCUUGUGCUUCAUGCGCCGGUUCUGAAACCAGACUUUGACCUGCCUUUCGGUGAGGUCCAGCAAGGCCGCGAUCUCGACGCGGCGUGGCCGGCACAGGAAAAGAUGAGUGAGGAUCUCCGCGUUGGAGGAAGAGGGAGUCGAAAGAGGCUUCCACUCUUUGAAAAAGGUCAGUAUUAAGGUGAAAAUAAGAAAGAGAUUUACAAUCAUCACACCACUAUCCCUGUUACCCUCCAAAAACAACAGUUAAAUCUUGGGAAAUGGACAGGAACUCCCAGGCAGACACAUAGGAGUGAGAUGGAGCAUAAGGGGCAUUUUUGGGCCUCUGGCCUCCAUCGCUGUAUGGUCUGGGUUCUCUUCUCUGCCCAGUGUUUGCAGCACUGCCUCUGCCCCUUAUGUACCCCUGCUUUCCUCACUUUCAGGCUUCCAUGCUUCUCUGUGACAUCCCCCAAAAACAGGCAGAGUCUAAGAUGUGCAUGUACCCACUCAAGCCUCAAGCUUGUAUCUGUAUCCAUAUCCAGGGACAUGAACAAGAACUGAGGUAGCCAUUGGUUUAACUUAGAGCACUCUCAAAGUUCAGAUCAGCGUUAUGUGUGUGCAUGAGUGUGGUGGGGAGAUUUUCCCCUAGGACAAAGAGACUUUCCCUCCCAUUUUUGCCAUUGUGCUAGUUAAAAAAGAAAAAAGAAAAAAAA
rnacentral:lncRNA from 1 species